GUACGGUAAUUACGUGGGACGUAAAGACGCAUGCAGGUUGGUUUGGUUAAGUACAGAUGUAGAAACGGCCCGGGGCGUACCAACCUACGGUAAGUUGCUAUUUAGUAAACGUGGCAGACUAGAGUACUGUAGGAGGGGGGUAGGAAUUUCAGGUGUAGCGGUGAAAUGCGUAGAGAUCUGAAGGAAUACCGGUGGCGAAGGCGGCCCCCUGGACAGAUACUGACACUCAGAUGCGAAAGCGUGGGGAGCAAACAGGAUUAGAUACCCUGGUAG
rnacentral:rRNA from 1 species